AGUUAAUGAUCUUGAAUAAGAAUAUAUUUUGAAAAUAUAUUAAAGAAAUUAAAAUUUUCUAUUGACUU
rnacentral:tRNA from 2 species